rnacentral:lncRNA from 1 species
AAUUCAGCAAAAGUGUGAAUGCAUGCUUGAUACACAUACACCAAUUAAUCUGCACAUAGUAAGGGCAAUCACCCCAACAAGAUAAGAACUGGAUUUCAUCACCAGAUUCUUGCCCAAAGUAGGUGAAUCAAUUCUCACAUAGCUAUCACCCUAAUUAAAAUUAAUUAGACGUUGGCCCCUAGGGACAUUCGAGCUCAAUAGGACGAAGAUCACCGAAAGUUGCUCCAAUUUUGCUCUGUGGCUCAGUUGAUGUCUAGGCAAGCUUUGUCCCAAGGGAGACAGUUCAUCUGUUCGAGGCAAGUGGUUUUUAAGUGGGACCUUUGCAACGCAUCGUGACCCCCCCACUUACCUGGGAGCUUACCUGGUCAACUCAGUUCAUUAGACCGGAUUGGAGGCUUAGGUGCCCUCUUCAAACUAGUUAGGAGCUGUCUAGUGAUUUUAGGAUAAAUACAAGGAUUUGAUGUGUUUUUCUUUUAGUGCAUGCUUGACUGUACGUGACUGAUCCAAAAAAGUAUUGGUGCAUGCUAGGGUGUCGUUUCAGAUCUCCUGAACUAUUAUCUUUUGACCCUAAAAUAGAACGGACCCUUAGGAAUCUUCGAGCUAAGAUCAGAACAUUAGAAUCAACUAUACCCGGUAUGAUUUAAUAAGGAUGCACUGUGUCUGGCUGAAGACGUUAAACUUAGCACUUGUUGGGAGGCAACCCAAUUUUCAUAAGUUAUUUUUGCACAUUUUCUUGUCGAUGUCCUCAUAUUACUGAUGCAACUAAGGUACAAUGCUUCUAUCUUCCAUAUGCAUCAUAUUUUCGUCCAAAAUAAAAUAACGAAAAAAAAUUAUAAUAAUAUAAUAUUGAGGACAAUGUCUGAUCUAGGUUGGGGGGUAUGGGAUUCGAAUUUUUUGAAAAUUUUUUUUGCAUUUUCGCAUUUUUAAAUAAGUAUGUUGAUUCAAAAAAAAAAAAACCUAAAUUCUUAUGCUUUAGUGCUGAAAUAAUAAACACACAAAGUAUAUAAAAUCUAAAAAAGCCCAAUAACUAGUCAGGAGUAAGUCAAUUUGAGUUCUUUUUAUUAAAAGUUCUUUUAGUGANNNNNNNNNNNNNNNNNNNUUUGGAAUUUCACAACACACAUGGCCUGCACUUCUAAGGGUUAGGUUCAACAUGAUGUUGUUAAGUCUGGUAGCAACCUUGAGUCCUGAUGAAUCAUACCUAUCUAAUUCACUAUUAAAAAAAAAAAGAGAGAGAGAUAAGUGAAUUUAGUCAGGUACAUCGAAAAGGGCUACCUAUUGUCAAAGGUCAGCGGGCUUGUAAUAAGGAACCCGAGCGUAGGUCCGUAGGGGAGUCUUGAUGCCCAACACCUUAUGCCAUCUGGUGUGGGAGUGUUGACUGAGUGCUCGCUACACGGAGGAAUCAUUACAAGAGUAAAAGUGCGUAAUUUAUAAAUCUACAAAAAAAAAAGAAAGNNNNNNNNNNNNNNAAAAAAAGAGAAAAAGAGAAAAUAAUAUUGACCUUGAAAAAGACGAUAGUGUGAAAGCCGUCGUUGUAAAAAUUCGAGUAAACUGGAAUAUUACAGAUAAAGCCCAUGAGGUAUUAAAGUAAACAUCCACAACUCUCGAAAUCCUGCAAGGUAGGAUGAUUUUGAAUCAGUGAUUAGGUCUUAUCUGACCAAUUCUUGGAAGCUACUAGUUUUAGCAGUAUUUUGGAGAAUCUAAAGCCUUAGCUUGUGUAUGGUCCAGAUAUCACCGAGCACCCAAGUAUAAAUUAGCCUUACAACUCUCUAACGGAAACUUAAUGACUUCAACUUAAGUUGCAUCUUGACCUAAGAUUUGGGCUGACUUAGUAAUAAAUCUUUGUGUGCUUUUUAAAUUCUUGGCAUUAAUGCAUUUGAAAUUAGAUUUUAUAAAACAAUAAAAUAAAUUAUUUGGGUAGAGACAGCAGUUUGUGGGUAUCUGAGCCGGAAACCCUCACGAGACAAAACUCGUCCACUAGGGCCACCUAGGGGUUUAAAGCCUUAUUGCAUACGGUAAAUGUAAUCGCGAUUCCUGCGAAAGUGAGUUAGUUUUUAUUUUGCUUGAGGACUAGCAAAAUGUAGGUUGGGGGGUGUGAUAAGUGCUAAAUAAUGCAUAAAUUAAUAUCUUAUUCAUAGCACUUAUCAUUAUUUUAAUCCACAUAUUUUGUAAAUUCAAUUAAAAAAAUUGUGUUACCUUCAUCAUUGCAUUUUAAUAAAUUAUUAAAGGUAAUUCAAGUUUGAUUUGAUUAUUUAUUGAUUGAGUCUAAUAUAUGCAGGUUGAGUCAAGUUCAUUAGGGAUUAUUCCUGGACCUAAACCACAUGCACCCCGCAAAUCAAGACCCUCUGAUUCAGUCACCCAACUCUUUUCCCACAUGAUCCUAUUUUAAUAAAAUUCCUUCGAUCAUUUGUCUCAUAGAUCUCAAAGCGUACCAUCUAUCGUCGCACGAAUCCCAAAGCUCAACCUAUCUCCUCCAAUCACACGUCAUCCUUCCCACGCUCACAUCUAAACUUUCCUCCCAUCCGCGUUCCUUCCAACAUCUUCCCAUCCAGCUCUCAGCCGAAUCCCAAGCUUCAUCUGGAUCAUUUCCCAGCCGAUAUCCUCUCAGUCCACAAUCUUCAUCUUCAUCUCCCCAUUCCGUGGAUCACGCCCCACUCAUCUCCUCUUCAUUCCAGGUUCAACUCCAUCCACGGAUAAGUUCUCUCCCCUGUUUCACGUUCAAACCAUUCUUAACCAUCCCUAUCCCAAAGCAACUCCCAGCCGCAUCCCAGCCGGAUGAGCAUCUCAUGUUCAUCUUCAUCCCGUGAGCUCUUCCUCCCGUUCGCGAUAACCAUCAACCACCCACGGGAUAAGCUCCAAUCCAGCUGCAGUUGCAUUCAUUCCGGGAUCUGACCGAGUUCAAUCCUCCGCAUGCGUCCAAGAUCCUCUCCGCAGUGAAGAAGUGCUGAUUCCUUCCAUCAUCCACGGAUCAUUCCGUUCGCGAUGGCGUUUAACGCAUCCUCUGUUUCAACAGAACAGAAACAUCACGAGCAUCUUCUCAGCCGAAUGCACCCAUCCCCAGUUCCACAUCACCUCCCAGCUUUUCCUCAACCUUAUCCCGGAUCUUCCGCAUCCUCCGCUAAUCUCACGCGGUCUUUCUUCCUAUCUGAAUUCCCCUGCAUCCGCGAUUCAUCCCGUAAGCAUCCCGAACAACAUGGCAUUCAAAUGCAUCCUCCCCUGCUUUGAAACAGACCACGUUGAUUCUCCCAUAUCCAGCUUCUCUCCCGUCCGCGAUUCAAGGACGAUCUCCCAGCCUUCAUCCCGUCCGCAAUGAACUCUCGUCAUCCACAGGAUAAGGCCCAGGUGUUCAUUCCGGAUCAGCCUCCAUCCUAAUCCCGAACCUCACGGACCAGCAAACACGGCGUCGAAGGAUUUCCUGCCAGCCGUGAGCUUCAUCCUCCUUCCAGAUCAUGUCCACCGUCUGCGCAUAUCCAGGAUCCUUCCACGAUUAGAACCGUCCCAAGUUCAUCAGCCCUCUUCCCUCGUCACUCCGUUUCUUCCGGAUUGAACCGAACCUCCACGCUCCCAGUUCAUCCCGCGUCCGAGAUAUUCUCCAACGUCCUCCGGAUCACAUCUUCCCAUUCCGAGAACACACAGCCAAUGGAUUAGAUCUCCUCCCAUCCGCGUGCACAUCCAUUCCGUGAUCAUCUCAUCACCCGCGAUGGAUUCUUCCCGAGCCGAUCCACAGCUUCAAGCCAACGAAUGCAUCUCAGCCGGAUCAGUUCCAUCCAGCAACCAACUUCUUCUUCCAAACCAAACUCCCUCUAAAUCCGUCAUCCGAGCUCCAAGUCCAUCCCAACUUCUCCCGCGUCCGGAUCUCCCGCAGCAACAAAUUUCAGCUUCACUCGAUCCUUAUCCUCCCACGCACGUGAAGAAAGAGAAGAGAAGCGAGGGGGAGGUGCAGCCUAUAAAAGGCCCAGCGUGAACCGAGAAGAGGCAUCUCUCCUCAGAUUCUUCUUCCCCCACCGGGGGGGGAAGGCUUCUAUUCCCAUCUCUCCGGAGGUCAAGUUCCCACCGAAAUACAAGAGAGAGAGGAAGCCAGAGGGAGAAAGGAGGGAGAACCCAGUCGUGAUGGGAGCCUGCCGCUGUGCUGCUGCUGCCGUCUCCAACUCCAUGGAAGGCUGAUCUUUUCUCCAGGGCUGGAUGCAGCCCUAACACAGGGACAUGGGUUUUAUAUUUUAUUUUAUGUUCUUGGAGUUGUAUGAACUUAUUGUUUUUAAUGGGAAUCUUCUUUUGAAUCAUAUUUAAUUUCUGUGAUUUUAAAUAUGAUGUUUAUACAACUGUUCUUCAUGAUCACUAAGUAAAUAUAAGAUAGUCCAUGCUUAAGGAAGAUGCGAUGUGCUACCACCUUAGAUUAGGGUAGACAUUUCAUGCUAAACUAAAGAUGGAUUAUGCCCAAAUUACUUUUGUGAAUUUUUAUUUAAAUGCUUAUUAGGCUUGUAGCCAAUUUGCAUGUUUAUCCAAGAAUGAAUUAAAAUAUAAAUAACCCUUGUCUCGAUGUUAGUGGUGAAUUCCUUGCUCUAGGUUCUCCCAAAUUAAUAUCAUUUUAAUUGCAUUUUCUCUAUUAAAUUCCUUAGUUUAAUUUUCUUCACAAACUCUUCUUUUUAAAUAUUUUUAUUUUUAAAGAAAACAACUAUACCCCAAUCCCUGUGGAUCGAUACCCGUAAUCACUAUCCUACCAGAUACGUGCUAUUGCGUGGUCUUUAAAGUUGACUAUCAANNNNNNNNNNNNNNNNNNNNNAUUGGUAGCAUAGUUGUUUUUCUUUUUAUUAAAAAAAUUUUUCAAAAAAAAAAUUUCAAAAAAUAAAAAAAAUAAAAAAAAUAGUUUCUAUUUUUACUUUCCUUAUCUCCUUCUCCCCUCUUACUAAUUUUUGAUUUUUCUUGGUAUCAUUUGAUCAGGAACCGAAGAUGAAGUUUGGAACAAUUAGAAAGGGAACAGCUGAAAAAGAAAUACUGUAAAGGUUUGCUUUAAAAAUUGCUGGGGAAAUUCCUCUUGGUAACAUCUGAACCUUUCUUAUUUAAAUUGAUUCCCAAUUAGCCUGAAAUUUUGUGGUGAUUGUUUGAUUUUAAUUUCAGCAAAAGUGUGAAUGCAUACACAUACAUCAAUUAAUCCGCACAUAGUAAGGGCAAUCACCCCAACAAGAUAAGAACUGGAUUUCAUCACCAGAUUCUUGCCCAAAUUAGGUGAAUCAAUUCUCACAUAGCUAUCACGUUAAAUAAAAUUAAUUAGACAUUGGCCCCUAGGGACAUUCGAGCUCAAUAGGAUGAAGAUCACCGAAAGUUGCACCAAUUUCGCUCUGUGGCUUAGUUGAUGUCUAGGCAAGCUUUGUCCCUUUAAGGGAGACAGUUCAUCUGUUCGAGGCAAGUGGGUUUUAAGUGGGACCUUUGCAAACGCAUCGUGACCCCUCCACUUACCUGGGAGCUUACCUGGUCAACUAAGUUCAUUAGACCGGAUUGGAGGCUUAGGUGCCCUCUUCAAAUCAGUUAGGAGCUGUCUAGUGAUUUUAGGGCAAACAUGAGGAAUUGAUGUGUUUUUCUUUUAAUGCAUGCUUAACUGCACCUGAUGCGUCUGGCUGAAGACGUUAAACUUAGCGCUUGUUGGGAGGCAACCCAAUUCUCAUAGGUUAUUUUUGCAUAUUUUCUUGUCGCAUUUUUUUAUUUUCUUAACAGGAUCCCUCAUAUUACUGAUGCAACUACGGUAAAAUGCUUCUAUCCCCCACAUGCAUCAUAUUUUCGUCCAAAAUA